AGUAAACGUUGGCGGCGUGCCUAACACAUGCAAGUCGUACGAUCCUUAAGUGGCUUGCCAUUUAAGGAAAGUGGCGAACGGGUGAGUAACACGUGAGUAAUCUGCCCCUAAGUGAGGAAUAACUCCGCGAAAGCGGGGCUAAUACCGCAUGAAACUCUGAAGCAAACGCUUUCAGAGUCAAAGCCCCCUAGGGGGUGCUUGGGGAUGAGCUUGCGGCCUAUUAGCUAGUUGGUGGGGUAAUGGCCUACCAAGGUAAUGAUGGGUAGCCGGCCUGAGAGGGUGUACGGCCACACUGGAACUGCGACACGGUCCAGACUCCUACGGGAGGCAGCAGUGGGGAAUUUUGCGCAAUGGGCGAAAGCCUGACGCAGCGACGCCGCGUGGAGGAUUAAGGCCUUCGGGUUGUAAACUCCUGUCAGAGGUGAAGAAUACCCCCUUUGGGGGGUUGACGGUAAC
rnacentral:rRNA from 1 species